CAGCAGCCGCGGUAAUACGUAGGUGGCAAGCGUUGUCCGGAAUUAUUGGGCGUAAAGCGCGCGCAGGCGGUCCCUUAAGUCUGAUGUGAAAGCCCACGGCUCAACCGUGGAGGGUCAUUGGAAACUGGGGGACUUGAGUGCAGAAGAGGAAAGUGGAAUUCCACAUGUAGCGGUGAAAUGCGUAGAGAUGUGGAGGAACACCAGUGGCGAAGGCGACUUUCUGGUCUGUAACUGACGCUGAGGCGCGAAAGCGUGGGGAGCAAACAGGAUUAGAUACCCUGGUAGUCCACGCCGUAAACGAUGAGUGCUAAGUGUUAGGGGGUUUCCGCCCCUUAGUGCUGCAGCUAACGCAUUAAGCACUCCGCCUGGGGAGUACGGCCGCAAGGCUGAAACUUAAAGGAAUUGGCGGG
rnacentral:rRNA from 1 species